rnacentral:rRNA from 1 species
AGCGAACGCUGGCGGCAGGCCUAACACAUGCAAGUCGAACGAAGUCUUCGGACUUAGUGGCGGACGGGUGAGUAACACGUGGGAACGUACCUUUUGGUUCGGAACAACUCAGGGAAACUUGAGCUAAUACCGGAUGAGCCCUUAGGGGGAAAGACUUAUCGCCGAAAGAGCGGCCCGCGUUAUAUUAGCUAGUUGGUUAGGUAAACGCUCACCAAGGCUACGAUCUAUAGCUGGUCUGAGAGGAUGAUCAGCCACACUGGGACUGAGACACGGCCCAGACUCCGACGGGAGGCAGCAGUGGGGAAUCUUGCGCAAUGGGCGAAAGCCUGAGGCAGCCAUGCCGCGUGAAUGAUGAAGGUCUUAGGAUUGUAAAAUUCUUUUACCAGGGACGAUAAUGAAGGUACCUGGAGAAAAAGCCCCGGCUAACUUCGUGCCAGCCGCCGCAGUAACAC